rnacentral:rRNA from 1 species
AAACAUAACCUUUAGCCAAACAAAUAUUAAAGGCAACGCCUGCCCAGUGAAUUAUUAAACGGCCGCGGUACCCUAACCGUGCAAAGGUAGCAUAAUCAUUUGUCUACUAACUAUAGACCUGUAUGAAAGGCAAAAUGAGGAUCCCACUGUCUCUUAUAAUAAAUCAAUUAAACUGAUCUUCUAGUAAAAAAGCUAGAAUUACUACAUAAGACCAGAAGACCCUGUGAAGCUUAAACUAAACUAUUAAACCUAAUAAUAGCUACUUUCGGUUGGGGCGACCUUGGAAAAAAAAAGAACUUCCAAAUAUGUGACUUAUCACACCCACAGGCCUACAAGCCACUAAACGACCCAGCAAAGCUGACAAACGAACCAAGUUACUCCAGGGAUAACAGCGCAAUCUUCUUCAAGAGUCCAUAUCAAAAAGAAGGUUUACGACCUCGAUGUUGGAUCAGGACAUCCUAAUGGUGCAGCCGCUAUCAAGGGUUCGUUUGUUCAACGAUUAAUAGUCCUACGUGAUCU